rnacentral:rRNA from 1 species
CCUACGGGAGGCAGCAGUGAGGAAUUUUGCACAAUGGGGGAAACCCUGAUGCAGCGACGCCGCGUGAGUGAAGAAGUAAUUCGUGACGUAAAGCUCUAUCCGCAGGGAAGAACAUGACGGUAACUGAAUAAGAAGCCCCGGCUAACUACGUGCCAGCAGACGCGGUAAUACGUAGGGGGCAAGCGUUAUCCGGAUUUACUGGGGGUAAAGGGUGAGGAGACGGCAGUGCAAGUCUGGAGUGAAAGGCGGGGGCUCAACCCCCGGAACGCUCUGGAAACUGUAAGGCUGGAGUGCAGGAGAGGAGAGUGGAAUUCCUAGUGUAGCGGUGAAAUGCGUAGAUAUUAGGAGGAACACCAGUGGCGAAGGCGGCUUACUGGACUGUAACUGACGUUGAGGCUCGAAAGCGUGGGGAGCAAACAGGAUUAGAUACCCUUGUAGUC